GGCGGCGGCGGCGGCGGCGGCGGCCGAGGCUGAGGCGGCGGCGGCUGCGGCGGCGGCGGCGGCGGCGGGCGGGGCUCGGCUCGGGCUCCGCGGGCGGGCGGGCGGACAUGGCGGCCAACAUGUACCGGGUCGGAGAUUAUGUCUACUUUGAGAAUUCCUCCAGUAACCCGUACCUAAUCAGAAGGAUAGAAGAACUCAACAAGACUGCAACGGGCAACGUGGAAGCAAAAGUAGUGUGCUUUUAUAGACGGCGAGAUAUUUCCAACACGCUUAUAAUGCUUGCAGACAAGCAUGCUAAAGAAAUUGAGGAAGAAUCUGAAACAACAAUUGAGGCGGACUUGACUGAUAAACAGAAACAUCAGUUGAAACAUAGAGAGCUCUUUUUGUCGCGCCAGUAUGAAUCUCUGCCUGCAACACAUAUCAGGGGAAAAUGCAGUGUUGCCCUUCUGAAUGAGACAGAGUCAGUAUUGUCAUAUCUUGAUAAAGAGGAUACCUUUUUCUACUCAUUGGUCUAUGACCCUUCAGUGAAAACACUAUUAGCUGACAAAGGUGAAAUCAGAGUGGGACCUAGAUAUCAAGCAGACAUUCCAGAAAUGCUCUUAGAAGGAGAAUCAGAUGAGAGGGAACAGUCCAAAUUGGAAGUUAAAGUCUGGGAUCCAAAUAGCCCACUUACAGAUCGACAGAUUGACCAGUUUUUAGUUGUAGCACGUGCUGUUGGGACGUUUGCUCGAGCCCUUGAUUGCAGCAGUUCUGUGAGGCAGCCUAGUUUGCAUAUGAGCGCAGCUGCAGCUUCUCGAGACAUCACCCUGUUUCAUGCUAUGGAUACAUUGUAUAGGCACAGCUAUGAUUUAAGCAGUGCAAUUAGUGUCUUAGUACCGCUUGGAGGGCCUGUUUUAUGCAGAGAUGAAAUGGAAGAGUGGUCAGCUUCUGAAGCUAGUUUAUUUGAAGAGGCACUGGAAAAAUAUGGCAAAGACUUCAAUGACAUACGUCAAGACUUUCUCCCUUGGAAAUCAUUGACUAGCAUCAUUGAAUAUUAUUACAUGUGGAAAACUACUGACCGAUAUGUGCAGCAGAAACGUCUAAAGGCAGCAGAAGCUGAGAGUAAACUGAAACAAGUGUAUAUCCCAACUUACAGCAAACCAAAUCCCAACCAAAUAUCCGCCAGCAAUGGCAAACCUGGUGCCGUGAAUGGAGCCGUGGGGACCACAUUCCAGCCACAGAACCCCCUCCUAGGGCGAGCCUGUGAGAGCUGCUACGCUACACAGUCUCAUCAGUGGUAUUCUUGGGGCCCACCUAAUAUGCAGUGUAGAUUGUGUGCAACCUGUUGGCUCUAUUGGAAAAAAUAUGGAGGCCUGAAAAUGCCCACCCAGUCAGAAGAAGAGAAGUUAUCUCCCAGCCCAACUACAGAGGACCCUCGUGUCAGGAGUCAUGUGUCUCGCCAGGCCAUGCAGGGGAUGCCAGUUCGAAACACUGGGAGCCCCAAGUCUGCAGUGAAGACCCGCCAAGCUUUCUUCCUUCACACUACAUAUUUCACAAAAUUUGCUCGUCAGGUCUGCAAAAAUACCCUUCGGCUGCGGCAGGCAGCAAGACGGCCGUUUGUUCCUAUUAAUUAUGCUGCCAUUAGGGCAGAAUAUGCAGACAGACAUGCCGAACUAUCUGGAAGCCCACUGAAAAGCAAAAGCACUAGGAAACCUUUGGCAUGUAUCAUUGGGUACUUAGAGAUCCAUCCUUCGAAGAAACCUAAUGUCAUUCGAUCUACACCAAGCCUGCAAACCCCCACUACCAAGCGGAUGCUAACCACCCCAAAUCACACGUCUCUGAGCAUUUUGGGGAAAAGGAACUACAGUCAUCACAAUGGCCUGGAUGAAAGGCUCAUGAAGUGAAGGCGCAGCUCUGCUCCAUCCUGCAGACCUUCCUCAGGAUGGCGGGAGGCUGUGAAGAAUUCACAUGCUGCGUGUCGGACUGAGCUAUCCCUGUUUCAUCCUAUAUGCCAAGACUUGCUACACUGUCCUGCUGAUGUUCACAGUCGUGCCUGGGAAGGAGGCAGCCCCAUUUCCAGUACAUCUCAGUGGGAGACAGACACAUGUGCCCCCUGGAGAUUCGGUGGGGCAGGGGAAGAAACUGUGGGAGUGCACGUCCCCAAAGCUGCAUCUCCAUGUGUGAAUCCGUGUCACCUCGCUUUCCUCUCAGAGACCUCACUAUCCCACGGCGGGACCUGCCUGAAAAUUGAGGGGACGAGGGAGCCCCUGCACCUCCUCCUUCUCUAGCCCUCUGCUCCUAGGCCCACCCAGCGGUUCCUCGGGCAGCGGGGCUGCUGAGAGCUCAGAUCUGCGGCUGCCCUGCAUGUGUCCGCUCAGCCCUGUCGUAGGCACCACGAUGGUGUACAGGAGGGACAUGGCAUCUUUCUGAAUGGAUUUUUCUUAAGAAAUGUGCCAGUGUUUAUGCCGUUCAUGAUAUCCCCCCAUCCUUGCCGUUACUGUCACUUGGCUUUCUCUCAAUAGGCUUCAUCUUUAUAUUUUUUAACGGGGAAAUUUUGCUCCCACCCCUGCAUUCUAUAUUCGGCUCCCCCUCCUCCACCCUUCCUAGGUACAGAAUUAUGAGAUUCUGACAAAAAAUAAGAAAAUCGUUUUUGGUAAGCCUGUGAGCUCUUCAUAUCACGUGUAUUCUAUUGUCGGAGAGAGGCUGGUGUCCUCUGGUUCUCCCUGGUCUCAGCUCCAGCAAGAGCAGGUGUUUAAACGGAGUCGAGCGUGUAUAUCACUGUGACAAGCCAUUCGUGUACUGCCCUGUUCCCUUACAGCCCAGCCAGCCGCCAAGGACUUGCAGCCAGGUUGGUCCUUCCACGAGUCGCAAAUCACCCAGGUUUGUUUUAAGCAGACGGAAUCUGUUUGGCCUACGAGGGUGAAGUGAGAGAUCUGUGUGUGCAGGUGAGUGUGUAUGUAUGACCACGAGCCCCCCACCUUUCUGGCCCAGACAGUUCUGUGAACACAUGUGCCUAGGCCCCGGGAGACGUGCCUGUGACCCGGUUUUCCCUGGCUUGGGCUCUUCCUGUCUGCCCUCGGUACCAGCCCUCGCUGGCACGGCAGGCUGGCCAUUCUGCGCCACUGUGCACACAGCUGCAGGGGCAGGAAUAGCUUAGUGCCCCCCCCCCCCCAGGCACAUGAGUCUGGCCACUCCCCUGUCCUCCAUUUCAGGGACAGGCUGCAGGGCACAGGCUCACGGCACCGUGAAGGAAAACUGGAGUCUGGCCUUCCAGCUGUCCCUGGGGUCUGCAGCUGGAUGAAUGGCCAGACAGCCAGGUGGUUGCAGGACAGAAUGACUACAAUUGAGUUGACACUCCCCCCUACCUCCACCCCCCCUCCCUGACCUCCCAAGCAGAGUGCAGUAUCGCUAAAAUGACGACACUGUAGACAUCUAGAUCCUCAGAGGCUGGGUUCAGCUCAGCAAAGAGAACACGGUAGAUGACAGCUGAAGGCGAUGCCGAGAGAUCGAGCUGCCUUUUCCCUCCAGUUCUGCAGCCAGCAUGGCUUCUCUUCUAAGGAGCUGCUUCUCACCUUUGGCAUUUGCAAGGGUGACCUGGGGAUGUUCUCACCACUACCAACUCUUGGAGCUGUUUUGGGUUGUGGCUUGGGGCCCCGAUGGAAGGCCUGUGUCAGAGGUGUCCAGGGAGCAGGGCGGAGGUGAUAGGCAUCGCCCUCAGGGUUCCCUGCAGAGAAGUCCCCUCCAAAAAGCCCUGGGAGAAGAGGCAACUGGCACUCUGCCUCCCAUGCCACAUGGUGUGUUCUCUCUAAAGAAAGACAUGGGAAGGCUGUCUUGUGUCCCACCCUGGAUUUAUUGUCACACACGGACACAGAGGGUGCAAUGGCUCCCUGGCCCUUACGCACACCUCUCCUGACCCAUGUGAUAUGUGACUGUUGAUUAGAGAAAAGUCUGCUGCCCAUGACUCUGCUGCCAGCUUCCUUCUCUCUGCCUGUUGGGAGAGUCCCUCCUCACCCAGGCCCAGGAGAUUUGGAGUUGGGGGCCAAGCCUGGUCUGAAAGGAGAACAGAGAAGCCCACCCACCCCAGUUGUAGCUCCCAUUUAGCUCUGGGACACAUGCAGUUUGCAUUGAGCCACAUGUACCAAGAAAGCUCUUCACCUUGUAGUAAGAACUCCAGGUUCUUCAGCCCCAUCCUCCUACAAAGAGGCCGUUGACGAAGAUCUUACGUUCCCAUUUCAUCUCUGGAAAGUUCCCAGCAUUCUGAUUGAACACUCCACGGACUGGAGGAACGACCCCCAGGAGCCUCUAACCUUUGCCUUGGCCGUUCUGAGCAGUUGGUGCUGAGAGGGUUUCCCAGCCACCCCGUUCCUGGGGCCCGAGUGUCACCAUUGUGCAGUGAGCUUGUGGGGUGGACAUGCAGGGUCUGUCUGCACGGCCACAGCAGACGUGCCCAGUGGCACUCGCUGUGCUGAGCCUGAUCUGUGUUCCCUUGGUUGAAGACACAGAAGUUCACAAGCCAUCUUCCCACUCUGCCAUCACCACCUGCCCACUCCUAGAGAUGGUGUCAAAGAGGAGGACAGACUGGUUUUCAGCCCGCCUCUCACAGCUGUACCUUGCCCACAGCCCCGUUUCUAUCAGUCAGCGUCCAACCGGGGAAACAGAAGCCACUCCAAGUAUUUAAAACAGAGGAGCUUUAAUCCAGAGAACUGUUGAACACAGAAACAAGAAGAGCGGAGAGGCCGAACAGGAGAAUGAGGGGCAGCCCAGAGGUGGAGAACGACAGCAGGAAACUGCCACCACCCGAAGCUGGUGGGACAUGGGGAGAGGCUAUGUUACCAGAGCACGGGGAGUAGAGCCACUGGGAGAAACUGGGGCCCACAGAGGCCGAUCUCGUGGGAGCUGGGGCCAUGGGGAGGCAUGGUCCCUGCCGGAAGGGUCCCUACUCCCCAGGUGUGGGGGACAAAUAGCCUGGCUUCUGCUUUCCUCGUGCUCUGUAGUUUCUUCAGGUGCCUCUCGUUAGUUAAACCCCACUGGAAGCCAGAUGACCUGGGGUCCCAGGAGAAGCUCGCUGCAGUGGUCAGGCCCACCACUCAGAACAGAGCGGGGGAGGUAGAGGAGAGGGUCUGAGGGCAAGCAGGCUGGGAUGUGUGUGGCCUCCGUCUGCCCUGUGUCAUGUCCAGCCUGGUGUUUAUGUUCCCACACUAUCCUAAGACCCCGGUGAGGGUAGACAGAGGAGCUGCCCCUGUGGGGGGUUCAUAGACUUUCACUCACCUAGAGAGGAGAAUUCUUUUGGAAGGGAGGGGGGAAAGCCUUUAUUCUUAACGGCUGUCCCUAUUUUCCUUUGGGGGAAUUUAUGCAUUUAGCAAUCCCACCUCACCAUUCCCCUCAGGAAAGCCAUGUCCUAGUUUUCUGUCCAUUCCUCCCCUCCAUUCCCUCUGUCCCCAAUUUCUGAUUUUCCCUGCCAGAGGACACUAGCCUGGACCAUGCAUCAGUGGUCAUGAGUGUUUCCCCAGGAUAAUUCAUUCAGAGCGUGAUAUUGCAGUGUGGACUGUCUGUCUGUAAGUAGAUGCCGUCUACUGAUCAGUUUGUAUCGUGUUUCCAAUAAAUUUCUGGAGAUUA